GACGUAGGGCGCAAGCGUUGUCCGGAAUUAUUGGGCGUAAAGAGCUCGUAGGCGGUCUGUUACGUCUGCUGUGAAAACCCAGGGCUUAACCCUGGGCUUGCAGUGGAUACGGGCAGACUAGAGGCAGGUAGGGGAGAAUGGAAUUCCCGGUGUAGCGGUGAAAUGCGCAGAUAUCGGGAGGAACACCGGUGGCGAAGGCGGUUCUCUGGGCCUGACCUGACGCUGAGGAGCGAAAGCGUGGGGAGCGAACAGG
rnacentral:rRNA from 1 species